UGGCCGCAGUAUUUUGACUGUGCGAAGGUAGCAUAAUAAUUAGGCUAUUUAUUGUGGUCUGGAAUGAAUGGUUAGACGUAAGAAUGACUAUCUUAUUUAUAAUAAUGAAUUUGAAUUAUCAGUAAAAAUGCUGAUAUUUUUUGAUAAGACGAGAAGACCCUAUUAAGUUUUAUAUUUAUGUUUUUUUUUUUUAGGGGUUUAAAAAUCUAAUAAUAUUUGAUUGGGGCGAUUGUUAGCAUUUAAACCCUAUUUUUAUGGGCUCUUAUUAAAAAUUUGACCCAUUAUUGGGGAUUAUUAAAAUAAAUUACUAUAGGGAUAACAGCGUAAUUGUUUUGGAAAGUUCAAAUUGAUAAUACAAAUUGCGACCCCAAUGUUGGAUCAGGAAUUCUGAUGGGGGCAGGAGCUUGUUUAAAUAGUCUGUUCAACUAUUAAAUUCCUACG
rnacentral:rRNA from 1 species